rnacentral:rRNA from 1 species
GAAAGGCGGGCUAAUACCGGAUAUGAUCGCAGGAGCAUUAGUUCUAGCGGUAAAAGGUGGCCUCUGCUUGCAAGCUACCACUGGGGGAGGGGCCUGCGGGCCAUUAGCUAGUUGGUGAGGUAAUGGCUCACCAAGGCGAAGAUGGCUAGCUGGUCUGAGAGGAUGGCCAGCCACACUGGGACUGAAACACGGCCCAGACUCCUACGGGAGGCAGCAGUGAGGAAUAUUGCGCAAUGGGCGAAAGCCUGACGCAGCGACGCCGCGUGGGUGAUGAAGGUCUUCGGAUCGUAAAGCCCUGUCAGGGGGGACGAAACCGCCUCGACCUAAUACGUCGGGGACCUGACGGUACCCCCAAAGGAAGCACCGGCUAACUCCGUGCCAGCAGCCGCGGUAAUACGGAGGGUGCAAGCGUUGUUCGGAAUCACUGGGCGUAAAGCGCGUGUAGGCGGUCUGGCAAGUCUGGCGUGAAAGCCCGGGGCUCACCCCCGGAAGGGCGCUGGAAACUUCUAGGCUAGAGUACCGGAGAGGAGGGUGGAAUUCCCGGUGUA